UUAUUGAGGUGUAGAUUAAUUUUGGUUAGUAAUGAUUUUUUUUUAAUUUCUUGUGGUAUAAUAUACUUAGAUGUGAAAAAAUCUUGCUGGGAAAUGGAAGACUACUUUUAAUACUGCUUCAACGAGUAAGUGUCCUAAGAGAAAGCGUGGGAACACAUACAAUUCCAAUGACGAAAUCAGCGAUGAUGAUACUGACACUGAAAUUGAAGAUGAAGAUGAUUAUGGACCCGAGAAGAGGUUGAUUCGGGAGUACAGGUUGAAGACAACCUUAUUAUGACUAGAUGCUCGUUUAAAAGGGUAAGUAAUAUUGUGUGUAUGAUGUCUGAGGUGCGGAAAGCAAUGGUGAGAGUUGCUCGAUUUGGGGUAUUUCUCAGGGAUGAUUUCCCUAAUAUAUAAUCUCAGUGCAGUGGCUAAUUGAAAAUGUCGAUGUGGGUCGUAACGCUUUGAAUAUCUAUUGGAAGAGAUUGCACAUGUCUAAGAAGAUAUUCCAGUAGGUGAUGGAUGUACAUGAAGGCAAUGAAGAGGUUCAAUCUAAGUUGAGGACUCCAGUUUCAAAAUUGAAGUCUACUUGUCUUGGCAUAAAUAACCGUGUCGAACUAGUAGCUUUAGAAACACAGUUGGUUGAUUAUGAAGAAGCUGAUGAUUUUUUCUUAGUCGCUAUGGUUCUGAUCAUAGUUGAGAGCGUAUUGGUGCCGAGAUCUAUAGGCCAAUUGCGUACUAGACACAUAAAUGUUGUAGCUGACCCCGAAGAAAUUAGUUACAAAAAUUGGGCAACACAUAACUACCGUGAGAUUAUGAAUUCUAUUUCCAAGUACCAGGCUGGGAAAUUGACUCACAUAAUUUGAUGCACGACUUUCCUACAACUUAUGUAUAUGCACCAUAUUCAAGUGCCCAGGGUGUUUGUUCACCGGUCCAUUGCACCAAUACAUUAUUGGACUGAUGAAGCCUCUUAGAAUCUGAAGCCUUAUAUCAUGGCUGACGGUGGCUAUAGUGUCAUGAAAAGGAGUUGUGGAUGUGGCACUUCCUCGGGUGAGUGAAUUAUCGAGUGGGAUGGAACAUAACACAAUAACGCAAGAGAAAGUGACUAAACUUGGUCAUCAGUUGGAAGAAGUGAUUGGACUGUUUGUUGCUCUACCAAAGACUAUCAAGAGUAUGGUAUUGAGGGAGGAUAGUGGUUUGCAGGAGAAUCCACAACCAGAACCUUUUGAUGAAUUAAGAGGCGAGCCUAAGGGUGGAGAUGAAGGAGUGGAUGUCUACAAGGCAAACGAUGCAGCUAAGGAAGUCCCUGAAACUGUUGAUAUGACAUAGGUUGCAAUCAAAAGUACUUUUGUGGUUCCAGAUAGAAGCACUAUUAUUAAACUGCCCGAACCAAAAUUUUGGGGUAUUAAGGGAUAAAAGGAAUUAUGUUCAGGUGGUGGUGUAAUGGUAGGGCCUUUCAGACUCUCUACAUCAGUGACAUAAUAGAUGUACUAGUUGGCGGAGUACUACUACAAGCCCAUCCUUAGCGAUAUUAACUUAGAAGUGGAAUGUCACUGCAUUCGGUCAAUGCAGCCCGACCAAUGGAUUUGUGGGGAGGCAAGUGUUUUAUGUGGAUAAACUUGCUCUUUUUUUGUGAGCAUUUUUAUCAUUUGGGGACAUUUAUUUAAUUCACUUUGUUUUUGCAGUUAAUUACAUGCUACGCCAGAAUAUUGACAGUGGAAGAGAAAAAGAAAUUUGGACCUAGGGAACCCCAUAGAGUUUGGUUCGUGCUAGCUAGGAUUUCUAUGAGUUACAAUAUAAUUGUUUUGGAGACCUCGGUUAUUUUCUUUAUGUUCAGCUUUAGGCCUAUAUAUGUUGAAGUUGAUCAGGAUUCUUUAAAUUCUUUUUGUUUUUCAUAGGAAAAACAACUAAGUAAACACAACUGAAUUGGCCUUGCUACUUGUGACGGAAACUGGGUGAAGUAUCAUUUUGGGAAUUUUAAAUUUUGUUGCGAGAUGGUUGUGCCUGUUUUCGGUGACUCUUGUUAUCAGAGAAUCGACAUUGGUUCGUAGUUUGAGUCAAUCUCAAAAGGCACUCUUGUGAAAUUUUGGAUUCCAACCUUAGUGAUGAAACCACGCCAGAGCGAUUGGAGCAGACGACCGAGAUGUUGACUACCCAAGAUGAGUUAUUUGCAUUUGACAUUGCUGCCACAAGGGGAAGUGGUGAAUCUAUUAGGUUCUCUGAAUUUCAGAAGUCAUUUCAAGAGGGUCUACCCCAACAAACAAAUUUGAAUGACUGGUGUUUUCAUUAUGAAGUAUAUGGAGGCAAUCAUCCAGGGAAAAACCACUACCUACGAGUUCGGUGUGGAUCGUUAAAGAUAUAGGCUUGACAAUCGCAUUGUUCGCCAUGAACUCAAUAAAUUGUGGGAUAUAGUCAGGGUCGAAAGUGAUGACCAUUUUCAGUGUAAUAUUUUGGAGGACGGUGAUGAAACAGGGCUAUCAUUUGGUGAGAAAAAGACUACCGGUUGCAUGGAAUCCCUUGGCAGUCUCACUAGAGACAAGGCCAAUAGCCGCUUCUCGAACAAAAAGGCAAGAAGCAAGAAUAUGAUUAAUGUUGUUUCAUCACGAACAAGGAGUCGUAAGAAGUCUACUUUGAGGAAAAUGGAUGUCAGAAAAGCAAGAAAGGUUGAAUAUGUCCUAAUACUUGGUUUGCGGGUUUAGUUAUGUACCUUAAUUAGUCUACUUUUAUGAGCACAAGUCAUUUUGCAUUGUUUAUUGAACAAAAUGAUAACCGGACAACUACUUACUUUUGUGAACCUCCUAGCUUUGGGCCAUAUUUAUGAUGUUCAAGUUUUUAAAUUAUGGGACACCUAGUAGUUUAAUAUUUUGCUAGUUAGGGACGGUUAUAGUAAUA